AGGAGUGUAGCUCAGUGGUAGAGCAUCGGUCUCCAAAACCGAGGGCCGUGGGUUCGAAUCCCUCCACUCCUGCCA
rnacentral:tRNA from 1 species